rnacentral:piRNA from 1 species
UUAUUGAACUUGGUAUUCAUGGUCUAUGGU